rnacentral:lncRNA from 12 species
CCCCCCCCCCCCCCCCCCCCCCCCCCCCCCCCCCCCCCCCCCCCCCCCCCCCCCCCCCCCCCCCCCCCCCCCCCCCCCCCCCCCCCGGCCGCGGGGGGCGGCGCGACCCGCCGCACUCUGCCCGGGCACUGCCAGCGCCGCCAACGAGCUUCCUGGCGCUCAGUCACUCUCCCCAGUGCCCACUGGAAUACUUGGCAGGAGGCUGGAGCAGCUGGGGCUCAGUCACUUCUCCCAGCUGACAAGAACAGGACAAGAGCAAACAGCCUCAGCUUGCACCAAGGCAGGUUUAAACUGGAUAUCAGGAAGAAUUUCUUCAUGGAAAGGUGGUCAGGCAAGGGCAGCAGUGGAAUCACCAUCUGUGGAAGUGUUCAAAAGGAAUCACCAUCCCUGGAAGUGUUCAACAACCAUGCAGAUGUGGCAUUUACAGUGGAACAGUGGAGCUGGCAGUGCUGAGUUAAUGGCUGGACUCAAUGAUCUUGGAGGUCUUUUAGCCUUAGGGAUUCUGUGAUUCUCAAUGCUGGGGUGCAGGACAGGACCACAGCCACCAUCCCCUGCAGCAGGAGAUCCCCUGCAGGAUGCUGAGGUUUCUUGGAGACACAGGGUACUUUGGGAUGACUUCAGCCUGAUUUGUUUAUAAAUUUAGAAUUUGCCUCCAGAGCUGGCAACUUGGCAUUUUUCACGAGACCUAAAUAUACUCCUUGCAGGCGUGAACUGUUUCCAUAAUAAAGCCUUUGAGAACUGACUUGUGAAAACUCAUUUAAAGCUGUAUUUUGGCAGAGUGAGGGGAAGUGCUGACUGCAGCUUGUUCACAGUAGAGGGGAGUGCUGAGAGGAAGGGAGUAGAGAAGGG